rnacentral:rRNA from 1 species
CGAACGGGAUCCGGCCAAGCUUGCUUGGCUGGUGAGAGUGGCGAACGGGUGAGUAAUGCGUGACCAACCUGCCUCAUGCACCGGGAUAGCUCCUGGAAACGGGUGGUAAUACCGGAUGUUCCACAUGAUCGCAUGUGAUUGUGGGAAAGGCUUUUUGCGGCAUGGGAUGGGGUCGCGUCCUAUCAGCUUGUUGGUGGGGUGAUGGCCUACCAAGGCUUUGACGGGUAGCCGGCCUGAGAGGGCGACCGGCCACAUUGGGACUGAGAUACGGCCCAGACUCCUACGGGAGGCAGCAGUGGGGAAUAUUGCACAAUGGGCGCAAGCCUGAUGCAGCGACGCCGCGUGCGGGAUGGAGGCCUUCGGGUCGUAAACCGCUUUUGUUCACGAGCAAGGCAUCCUUUCGGGGGUGUUGAGUGUAGUGUUCGAAUAAGCACCGGCUAACUACGUGCCAGCAGCCGCGGUAAUACGUAGGGUGCGAGCGUUAUCCGGAUUUAUUGGGCGUAAAGGGCUCGUAGGCGGUUCGUCGCGUCUGGUGUGAAAGCCCAUCGCUUAACGGUGGGUCUGCGCCGGGUACGGGCGGGCUGGAGUGCGGUAGGGGAGACUGGAAUUCCCGGUGUAACGGUGGAAUGUGUAGAUAUCGGGAAGAACACCAAUGGCGAAGGCAGGU